UGGGGAAUAUUGCACAAUGGGGGAAACCCUGAUGCAGCGACGCCGCGUGAGCGAAGAAGGCUUUCGAGUCGUAAAGCUCUGUCCUAUGAGAAGAUAAUGACGGUAUCAUAGGAGGAAGCCCUGGCUAAAUACGUGCCAGCAGCCGCGGUAAUACGUAUGGGGCGAGCGUUGUCCGGAAUUAUUGGGCGUAAAGGGUACGUAGGCGGUUUUUUAAGUCAGGUGUCAAAGCGUGGAGCUUAACUCCAUUAAGCACUUGAAACUGAAAGACUUGAGUGAAGGAGAGGAAAGUGGAAUUCCUAGUGUAGCGGUGAAAUGCGUAGAUAUUAGGAGGAAUACCGGUGGCGAAGGCAGCUUACGGGAGCGCAACUGACGCUGAAGCUCGAAGGUGCGGGUAUCGAACAGG
rnacentral:rRNA from 1 species